CAGUAGCCACGGUAAUACGAAGGGGGCUAGCGUUGCUCGGAAUUACUGGGCGUAAAGGGAGCGUAGGCGGAUGUUUAAGUCAGAGGUGAAAGCCCAGGGCUCAACCUUGGAACUGCCUUUGAUACUGGACAUCUUGAGUGUGGGAGAGGUAAGCGGAACUCCGAGUGUAGAGGUGAAAUUCGUAGAUAUUCGGAAGAACACCAGUGGCGAAGGCGGCUUACUGGCCCAUUACUGACGCUGAGGCUCGAAGGCGUGGGGAGCAAACAGGAUUAGAGACCCGCGUAGUCCCUGUCUCUUAUAC
rnacentral:rRNA from 1 species